AACCCUGGCAAUGUCCUCCAGUGGACAGAGUCCACAAUUGAUUAGUCAGAUCAAUCAGCGUGGCCCUCGGCUGCUGUUGCUCACUAUGACGCACACCAAAGGGGGUCGGAUAGUGGGGUAUUGACAGCAAAAGCCCCGCUGGUUCACAAAAACACACACACAUAUCUGAAGAGCAGCACCCAUUUGCAGACAGUGCAGCCCCAGGCCUGGCAUUUCAGCCUCUUUCAGGGAAUAAAUGCAGUGGCAGAGCGAGAGUAAGGCAGAGACACAGGAAAAAUCAGAGACAGAUGGAUUUAAAGACUGAGCCAGAUCCAGCCAUCCAGGCCAGGUGGAGACUCAAGGGACAGUGACACCUUUGGUGUCCAGAUUGACCUGAGCUCACGGAUGAGCCUUGAGAUGUGAGGAUUAUUCACAGGAGCCUGCGUCACUACAAACAGUCCAUGGAGUUGUCUGGCACCAGGCCGAGUGGAGGUGCUUUUCCCGGAGUGCAGGAUGGGGGCAGCAUGGCGUUGGGGGCAGGGUCCACGUUCUCUGAAUCCUCCAUUUUCUCAGCACAUCCCUCCCAGUUGAUGUGAAAUCUGGUUACACGUGGGUUGGAAGCCAGAAUGUUCCUCUGGAGCUGAAAGCAAGCAGAUAAAAGGGGCUUUGAAUACACACUCUAAUAUUACGGGGAUGCAAAUUGAAAAAAGUGACAAUAAUACAACACACACUAGGGAAAAGUUGUAAAACAGAUUUUCAAAAUGUUUAUUUACAAUCAGUUUUAGCAUGUUGUCUCAGGUCACAUUCACACUUUUGUUUUCAUGGAAUCCAUUCAAUGUUUAUGAAAGCUGCCACAGAAUAACAAAAAUAAAGGUAACUGCAACAUUUUAUCUGACGUUUUGCAUACGAUUCUGAGAUAAGUCAGGAAUGUGAGAUAUACACUUACGAUUGCAAUACAAAAGUUAGAAUUUUGGGAUAAAAAGUCACAAUUACCUUUUUAAUUUAUUUUAAAAUUUUAUUCUGUGGCAGAAACAAGCUUCUAUAAAUGCAACUAUAAAAAUAAUAAAACAAAUGUAUAAAUAAUAAUUGUUAUUAUUCUUUUAUUUUAUUACAUUUCAUAAAUUAAACCAAUAAAGAAUAAGUUACGGUAACCCUCGUAAUAGUCCACACCUUUUUUGCACCAUUUUUAUUAGAAUUGCUACUAAGGAGUGAUAUUAUGCACUACUCAAAUGAACUACAGUUGUAUUUUUGACACGUUUUAUUCAUAUAAAACUGAAGAGACCUCUUAAUAAAACUAUUAAAGCCCAAUAAAAUGGUUUUACAAGUA